GGUUUCCGGAGAGGGAGCCUGAGAAACGGCUACCACAUCCAAGGAUGGCAGCAGGCGCGCAAAUUACCCAAUCCAGACAUUGGGAGGUAGUGACGAGAAAUACUGGGGAAGUUCCUUGUGAAUUUCGUCCGGAAUGAACGUAAUAUAAAAAAUUCGAUGAGGAUCUACUGGAGGGCAAGUCUGGUGCCAGCAGCCGCGGUAAUUCCAGCUCCAGUAGUGUAUAUCAACAUUGUUGUGCUUAAAACGCUCGUAGUUGGAUUACAGAUCGCUGAACAGCGUCUUGCGAAUUAGCAGGGUGUUGGUGCAAGAGAAGCAUUUGCGUGCGGAUUUUGCUUGGCGAUCUUUUGUCGCACUGGUCCUGGUUUGCGUCUUUGCUGAUGCAGAUCAACGACCGGUGGAGUGUGCCUUGAAUAAAGCAUAGUGCUCAAAGCAGGCGAACGCUCGUAUGUAAUAGCAUGGAACGAAUAAAUUGACCGGCGGUCCAGUCUUGCAAUUCGGUUGUCGGAUGGGCCGCUAGACUCGAUCAGUGUUGGUUGGAGUUGAGGUCUCAACGGUUAAAAGGGACACCUGAGGGUACUAGUACUUUGUGGCGAGAGGUGAAAUUCUUAGACCCGCAAAAGACUGACUACUGCGAAAGCAUUUACCAAGAGUGUUUUCAUUAAUCAAGAACGAAGGUCAGAGGAUCGAAGACGAUCAGAUACCGUCCUAGUUUUGACAGCAAACUAUGCCAGCAUAGGGUCAGGGCAGUCGUUGUUUAACAGACAAUCGAACUACCUUGGGCCUUAAGGGAAACCUAGCUUUCGGGCUGCUGGGAGAAUAUCGCUGCAAGGCUGAAAUUUAAAGAAAUUGACGGAGAGGCACCACCAGGAGUGGAGCCUGCGGCUUAAUUUGACUCAACACGGGGAAACUCACCAGGUCCAGACAUUGGUAGGAUUGACAGACUGGUAGAUCUUUCAUGAUUCAGUGAAUGGUGGUGCAUGGCCGUUCUUAGUUGGUGGAGUGAUCUGUCAGGUCUAUUCCGGUAACGAGCGAGACCACGGCCUUUAGUUUUUGCAUCGCAGCAAUGCGACGCAAACUAGAGGGACCAUUGCUGUUUAAAGCAGGGGAAGCGUGGCAAUAACAGGUCUGUGAUGCCCUUCGAUGUCCUGGGCUGCACGCGCGCUACAAUGGCAGCAGUAGAGAGUGGCUGACCAGAGAUGGUUGGCAAAACUGUAAAUGGCUGUCGUGAUAGGGAUUGAGCCUUGUAAUUAUUGCUCAUGAAAGAGGAAUUCCUCGUAAGCACGAGUCAUCAGCUCGUGUUGAAUACGUCUCUGCCUCUUGUACACACCGCCCGUCGCUACUACCGAUUGAAUUGCUUCUAAAGCGGGCUGGUCUUU
rnacentral:rRNA from 1 species